GCUUGUCUCAAAGAUUAAGCCAUGCAUGUCUAAGUAUAAACGAUUUUAUACGUGAAACUGCGAAUGGCUCAUUAUAUCAGUUAUAGUUUAUUUGAUGGUCCUUACUAUUUGGAUAACCGUAGUAAUUCUAGAGCUAAUACAUGCAUCAAGCCCUGACUUCGGAAGGGGUGUAUUUAUUAGAUGGAAACCAAUGCGGGGCAACCCGGAAUAUGGUGAUUCAUAAUAACUUUUGCGGAUCGCAUGGCCUUGAGCCGGCGACGAAUCAUUCAAAUUUCUGCCCUAUCAACUUUCGAUGGUACGGUAUUGGCCUACCAUGGUUACCACGGGUAACGGGGAAUUAGGGUUCGGUUCCGGAGAGGGGGCCUGAGAAAUGGCCACCACAUCCAAGGAAGGCAGCAGG
rnacentral:rRNA from 1 species